rnacentral:rRNA from 1 species
GAUGAACGCUGGCGGCGUGCCUAAUACAUGCAAGUCGAGCGAACAGACGAGGAGCUUGCUCCUCUGACGUUAGCGGCGGACGGGAGAGUAACACGUGGAUAACCUACCUAUAAGACUGGGAUAACUUCGGGAAACCGGAGCUAAUACCGGAUAAUAUAUUGAACCGCAUGGUUCAAUAGUGAAAGACGGUUUUGCUGUCACUUAUAGAUGGCUCCGCGCCGCAUUAGCUAGUUGGUAAGGUAACGGCUUACCAAGGCAACGAUGCGUAGCCGACCCGAGAGGGUGAUUCGCUAGACGGUAUGAGAGACACAUCCCCGACACCGGCGGGGGGAAGCGGUAGAGACUCUUCCGCGAUGGGGGAGUGCGGGACGGAGGAAAGCGGGGGAAAUGAUGAAGGAGUUAUGAUGGGUGAGCUCUGUAGGUAGUGAGGAAGUAAAGUGUAAUUAACUAGGAAGAUCUUGACGGUACCUGAAGAAGAAGCCACGGCUAACUACGUG